UCUAAUACCGGAUACUGAUUGUGUUGGGCAUGCUUGAUGAUCGAAAGCUCCGGCGGUGCAGGAUGAGCCCGCGGCCUAUCAGCUUGUUGGUGAGGUAACGGCUCACCAAGGCGACGACGGG
rnacentral:rRNA from 1 species